AGUUAUAUAUAUAUAUAUAUAUAUAUAUAUUCAUGUAGGUAUGCUUUAGAUAUUAGGUAGAUAAGGUAGGUUGAGCGGAAGUACGCGUUAAUUGAUAAUGAGCGGCAGAUGGCAGAAGUUUGAGGAAAUCGACUGAGGCUAGAUCGGCUAGAUCAGCAAGACUGUUGCGAAUCGUUGUAGCGUGCGGACGUAGGCCUACGUAAAGCGAGAUAAGUCAGAUCUUUAUUUUUUGAAUUGUAUUGCGUUCUCUUUAUUAAUAUUGUUGCGUUGACUCCUCUCUCAUAUUUUUUGUCAAAUCGGGUGAAUCAGCUAUAUUGAUAUUUAAAUACUGAGUCGAACUGCUUUAGUUAGUGAGCACUCUGUGUCACGUGCAAUUGCGCUAAUCUAUUGCGUUGUAUUGUGCUCGAAUAAAGUAACUGUUAUACCGUGUAUUUCGAGGGUAUUCCAUAAAAAUCACAACACAUAUAUAUGUAUACACAUACAUAUAUACACGACACAUAGAUCGGAGAGACCGAGACUUACUGAAAUUUGAAGACUAUACCAAUCACAGACUGGCGUGCACGAGAUUGUUGUGCGGAUGGGCCACGUCGCCCAGCGGAGCCAUCUCGGGAGCGAUUGCCCAUCUAGUCAGUAGUAGAGGUCAAACGACCAAAAAGCAGAAGUCAUGAGAAGUAUCUGAUGUAAUAGUGAUUCUUCUCAAAUUGAAACACUGGUUCUAGAAACCAUCUUUGGAGAUUUGGGGGGAGAGAACAGUUCUACGGUCGAUAAACGGAAGCAGGACCGAACCAGUAAAAUAUCGAAGCUGUCCCUUCCACUUCCACGCCGAGUAUAGAAGGAUUUAGGGGAAAAUCUGUGCAUCCCGAGUCGUAUGUAUCGAGUCGUGGAUGCAUCAUGUACGCAAAGUACGAUCGCAACGAUCAUAGAUAUAAAAAAGGUCGAUAUAAUUUAUCUGCUAAAAAUAUUUGGGCAAAACUCAGUGAAUAUUAAUGAACCUGAAGAAGUUAAAAUCAAGUGAAUGCGCAAUUGUGUGUAUAAACAGUAGCAGUUUUGAAUAAAGAGUGCAACCACAUUGGUCUUAGUAUCGUAAUAGUGAACAGAAGACUCCAGUUUUGCAGAUUGUUGUAAAACGAGGCAAUGUCAGCUUUAAAAUUCGAUCGGUGCAAAACCUUCAGAAUGAGCGUCCAGUAAUAAACUGAAAAUUCUGAAGUGUUCUGAGAUCGACACAUCUCUUUCAAAAGUGCUCUUUCAACGAAUUUCUUACGGACGAUGGCUUUGGAGUGGCUUCGCUUCAGACAACACUGAAUCAUCAAUAAGAUCAGAAUUAUUUAUAUCUUAGUAAUUUCACAGGACGUACGUGUUAAUCGACUGAACGAUAUAGCCUAUUUAACUGAUUAGUUUCAAGAAGACGGAAUUUAUAACGUUUGCCAUGAAAUUAAGAUAAAUCCGCGCAAGAAAGCGUGGACUAAAGAUCGUUAUUUUGCAAUUCCUGUUUAUGAUAUGGAGGAGGAUCGUAAGCAAGUGUUAAAAGAAGUGUAAUAUUAUCGUGUCUGCUUAUAAAAAUGUUGUAAAUAAAA
rnacentral:lncRNA from 1 species